rnacentral:rRNA from 1 species
GAUGAACGCUGGCGGCGUGCCUAAUACAUGCAAGUCGAGCGAACAGACGAGGAGCUUGCUCCUCUGAUGUUAGCGGCGGACGGGUGAGUAACACGUGGAUAACCUACCUAUAAGACUGGGAUAACUUCGGGAAACCGGAGCUAAUACCGGAUAAUAUAUUGAACCGCAUGGUUCAAUAGUGAAAGACGGUUUUGCUGUCACUUAUAGAUGGAUCCGCGCCGCAUUAGCUAGUUGGUAAGGUAACGGCUUACCAAGGCAACGAUGCGUAGCCGACCUGAGAGGGUGAUCGGCCACACUGGAACUGAGACACGGUCCAGACUCCUACGGGAGGCAGCAGUAGGGAAUCUUCCGCAAUGGGCGAAAGCUUGACGGAGCAACGCCGCGUGAGUGAUGAAGGUCUUCGGAUCGUAAAACUCUGUUAUUAGGGAAGAACAAAUGUGUAAGUAACUAUGCACGUCUUGACGGUACCUAAUCAGAAAGCCACGGCUAACUACGUG